ensembl:lncRNA
GAUGGUUAAUGGCCCCAGGUCUCAGGGCUGCCACCUCAGGGCUGGGUCGGACACAUAUGCUCUGUUUGGGUGCUCUCCCUAAGUCUUGAAAUGAACACGGUGCAGCGGCUCCUUCUCCUUCAGCAUGAGGUUUUAAUUUCCUGGUCCUCUGAGUGUGGGGAGUGACGGGAUGUCUGGCCGCUUGGCCGAAGCAGAUGCCCUGACCUGGUUAGAGGCCCGCGUCUGGAGCAGGCAGGGUCACCGUGGUCCUUCGUCCUCUCAGCACAGAGGAAGUAAGAGGACCAGCUGUGUUUCAGGCUCAGAUACUGGCCAGCGCCAUAGUGGAGGUACCGCUUCCCUUGGUGGGACCUUUUUCUGCAACAUCUCUGUCAGUCUGUUGCAAGCCUAGCUCCACCCCUGACUUUCUAUAAAUCUGGGACAGCAAGGUGCCAACACACAGCUGCCAACACUUCCUCCUUCCUCCUUGGCAGACACCACUGAGUAAUCAAGGUUGUGCCUGAAUACAACCUCAGAAUCCUUCUCAACACCUGCAGAGAGCUGCCAUCUGGAUGAACAUUUUAGACCACCUAUGCAGUUAGAUGUGCUGUCACGCUUGGGGACACAUGAAGGAUAUGACACCCCCCCACACUUGUCAGCUUCUGAUCACACACCGAGCUGGAUGAUGAAGACAGCUGUCCAGCACACUGGAGGGGUGGUGUGUUCCAGCCUGCGUAUGUUGGGCAGCCACCUGGAGAACCUGUUUGUUCACUCUCAGGAGGGAGCCAGAAAGAGCCGGUACAAGACUGCCCCCUCCUCUGCCAUACUGGCUCCCUGCUGCAGAGACCAGGAAGGCCCCACCCUCUGCAGGUGAGCUCAGAAAACCACAGCACCAGUGGUGAUGCCAUGUAUGAAGCUGAAUCACUGAAGUUCCACCAGCUGUCAGGCUGCACUGCUCCUGCUGCAGCUCAGAAAUUUUACAUUCGAUGCAAGUAUUGGAGGAUUUGAGCAUGGUAUCUCAAGCAGUUGCACCUAAACAUUUACUAUUAAAAUA